rnacentral:ncRNA from 1 species
GGAGCAGCUUCUGGAGAGACCGUGGAAUUCCACGGCGCCGAAGGGUUCACAAUCUCAGGCAAAAGGACAGAAGAGUAUUA